rnacentral:rRNA from 1 species
GCNAACGGAUGCGUAACACGUAGCUACUUGCCCCACAGUGGGGGAUAACCCGGGGAAACCCGGGCUAAUACCGCAUACACCCGAGAGGGGAAAGCCGAAAGGCGCUGUGGGAUAGGGCUGCGGCGUAUCAGGUAGUUGGUGGGGUAACGGCCUACCAAGCCGAUGACGCGUAGCUGGUCUGAGAGGAUGAUCAGCCACACUGGAACUGAGACACGGUCCAGACUCCUACGGGAGGCAGCAGUGGGGAAUCUUGGGCAAUGGGGGAAACCCUGACCCAGCAACGCCGCGUGGAGGAAGACGCCCUUCGGGGUGUAAACUCCUUUUGCAGGGGAAGAGAGAGACGGUACCCUGCGAAUAAGCUCCGGCUAACUCCGUGCCAGUAGCCGCGGUAAUACGGGGGGAGCUAGCGUUACUCGGAAUCACUGGGCGUAAAGGGUGCGUAGGCGGCUUAGUAAGUUGGGAGUGAAAUCCCACGGCUCAACCGUGGAACUGCUUCCAAAACUGCUAAGCUAGAGUCCGGGAGAGGCCGAGGGAAUUCCUGGUGUAGGGGUGAAAUCCGUAGAGAUCAGGAGGAAUGCCGAAAGCGAAGGCGCUCGGCUGGAACGGAACUGACGCUGAGGCA